rnacentral:rRNA from 1 species
AUGGCCGGAAUUGUCAACAAGGAGUUUCCUGAGUUGGCCCAGACACGGCUGAACUACCUGUCAUGGUCCUCGGACUGCGAGAUUUUUCUCCAGGGCAAAACCCUCCUGAGGGCGAUCGGUAAGGGGGCCCAGCUGGCCGCCACUAAUCCCAAGUUCGAAACUAAGAAUGCGCAGGCGCUGCACUUUCUCCGUCAUCACCUAUCACCUACUCUGAAAGAUGAGUAUAUGGCUGAGUGCAGUGCUUCUGGCCUUUGGACCGCUCUUAAGCAGCGGUUUGAGCGGUUGAAGUACACUGUGAAGCCACGUGCAGAGGCAGAGUUGAUCCGUCUGAGCAAGAAGAUUGAGAAAACCCUAUCCACUUUCCACCCCGACGUGGUCCAGUCCUCACGGAACUACCGCCAGGGGAACUACAUGAGGUAUUCAGAGUUGAUUGACGUCCUCCAGGUGGCGGAGGCGUAGGACGAGGUUCUCAAAAAGAACUUUAACACGCAACCACUUGGGGGAGUUCUCGCCAGGAGGUGAACGCCCUCAAAGUCCGCAAGCCUCAACAGAAGAAGAGGGGCCGCAAGGCUAAGCAGAACAAGCCGGGCAAGGGAGUGUGGCUCGGUGGAGCAUUUCUCCCGCCAGUGUCGCGCACCACCGGAGGUCAUUGAAGCAUACAAUGCUCGGAAGGCGCGUGAGACACGCCUCGCCUUGGUUUAG